rnacentral:tRNA from 1 species
GCGGAUAUAGUUUAAUGGUAGAACGUCGGCUUGCCAAGUCGGCGGUCCGGGUUCGAUUCCCGGUAUCCGCA